rnacentral:rRNA from 2 species
GGGUUGUGAGGUUAAGCGACUAAGCGUACACGGUGGAUGCCCUGGCAGUCAGAGGCGAUGAAGGGCGUGCUAAUCUGCGAUAAGCGCCGGUAAGGUGAUAUGAACCGUUAUAACCGGCGAUACCCGAAUGGGGAAACCCAGUGUGAUUCGUCACACUAUCAUUAACUGAAUCCAUAGGUUAAUGAGGCGAACCGG